CCUACGGGUGGCAGCAGUGAGGAAUAUUGGUCAAUGGACGGAAGUCUGAACCAGCCAUGCCGCGUGCAGGAAGACGGCUCUAUGAGUUGUAAACUGCUUUUGUACAAGGGUAAACCUGAAUACGUGUAUUCAGCUGAAAGUACUGUACGAAUAAGGAUCGGCUAACUCCGUGCCAGCAGCCGCGGUAAUACGGAGGAUCGAAGCGUUAUCCGGAUUUAUUGGGUUUAAAGGGUGCGUAGGCGGGUUGAUAAGUUUGAGGUGAAAUGUCCGGGCGUAACUCGGGAACUGCCUCUUAUACUGUUGAUCUAGGGAGUAGAUGCAGUAGUCGGAAUGUAUGGUGUAGCGGUUAAAUGCUUAGAGAUCAUACAGAACACCGAUUGCGAAGGCAGCUUACCAAGCUAUAACUGACGUUGAGGCACGAAAGCGUGGGGAGCAAACAGGAUUAGAUACCCCUGUAGUC
rnacentral:rRNA from 1 species